rnacentral:rRNA from 1 species
UACGUAGGGUGCGAGCGUUAAUCGGAAUUACUGGGCGUAAAGCGUGCGCAGGCGGUUUUGUAAGCCAGAUGUGAAAUCCCCGGGCUUAACCUGGGAACUGCGUCUGAUACUGGACGGCUGGAGUUGGGAGAGGGAUGUAGAAUUCCAGGUGUAGCGGUGAAAUGCGCAGAUAUCAGGAGGAACACCAAUUGCGAAGGCAGCUCGCUGGGACGUUACUGACGCUGGAGACGCGAAAGCCGUGGGGAGCAAACAGG